rnacentral:tRNA from 1 species
GGUUGUUUAGUUUAAUGGUUAGAGCACUCAGCCAGUAUCUGAGGGGUAUGGGUUCGAGUCCUAUAACCACCU